CUCCACACAAAUUAUUUUUUAUUCUUUACAUUUUAAAUUGAUGGUACUGACACAGACACUAGCACAAAAUAAGAUACCAUAUUUUGUAAUAUAUAAAUUCAUUUAAAAAGUUCUUAGUGAUCCAUAUACACAAAGACAAAAAAUAAAUAAAAUGUCAACAAUUAAGUCCUAUAGAACAGUGCAAUUGUAAACUGACAUUCCCGGUUCAUGCAAGAAACUAAGUUCAUGUGAAAUCAAAUUCAAACAACUGCUUUAAUGAGCUCUCCCUUAAAUGGUAAAGCACAAACACAGGGACUGGAAUUAAGAACCUGCAUUAGGCAACAAUGAAUUGAACGUGUACACUAUAUAUAUUAUUGAUACAACGCAAUGUACAGACAAAAAAGUGUUACAAAAAACAUAAAAAUAAACAAAAUAAAAUCAAGAAAAACAGAAAAAACACACAAACCAAAAACAUUACAUGUUUGGCACAUUAACAUUGUAAACUAGAAUGUUUGCAAUUGUGGUGAUAUAAAAUGUUGCAUGUAAAAUAUCAAAAUUUUUAUAGAACUUUUCACAGGCGCCUUUAAGCUGUAUUUGAAAGUUAUCAAGUAGAAAUUGUGCAUGGCAAAGUGGCACGGAAGAAAAGCUGUUAAAAAUUGUAAUAUGAAUGAGCUACCUAUGCAAAUAUGAAAGGAGACAAAUAUAUAUAUAUAUAUAUAUAUAUGAGACUUGUCUUCAGUGUACACAAAUGGGCAUCUAAUAAUGCAGCAUACAUAAAAAUAUAUGAUUGUGUAUAUGUUAGGCUCGCAUUCUAUCCAAAGAAUGGUCAGUGUGCUGGCUGUUAUUAUUACUGAUACAAAUAUUGGUGUGCAUAUUAUUUGAAUAUUAAUAAAACCGAUUUACAGUUUGAUUUACAUUUGCAACAGGGUUAACAUUUAUAACAAACUGUUAACUCUCCUCGUACGGCACCCUGUCGUCUCCAGUUAUAUGUAUAUUUUAAAAAAAGGACUUGUAGUUCACACAAGUCUCCACGCAUAGUGGGAUGUUUUAAAUGAUAACAUUUUGAAUGUAUCAGAUCUUCUAGAGUUUGUUAUAGUUAUAACGAUAGGCAUAAACGUAAAACAGAUAUAAAUGUUUUUUUAUUACAUUAUCAUUGCAAAUAUGGAUUGUUGAUUUAAUUUAAUGUACUGUUCAUUAUUGCACUAUAAUAAAUUUAUGAACUAGAAUGUAGUACAGGCAGCAUUUAUUUUUCUCAGUGGCAUUAACUGUUUGCUAGUGCUUUUGUUAUUUUGUUUGCGGAAGCGCCACAAAACCUAAUGUGAUAAAUUAUUUUGUUUACAUAGUACACAGACAUGACUUGAACCAGGGAUUUUCAAUUUAGAACAAUUAAUCUCACGACAACAGUCAUAUUGCUGCUAGUGAGAAUUACUUACCUUUCAGCACUAACUGAUCUCCUCACUACCACUCCACUUCUUUGGCAGAGAUCAACCAAUCCAGUGCUUCCCCAUAGGGAAGACAUGCAUUAGGUGCUGAGCCAAUAAAAUAUUGCUACCGGACCAGCACUUUCUCUAUAACCUUUAUAGCAGAGACAGACACACAUUAAAGGCGUGUUUAACCUGCAAUUUAAACAUUGUUUACAGAACAGCAAUGUCUAACAUUGCAGGCUUGAAAAAGGACAUGGGGCUGCACCAACACCAUGUCAUUGAGAAUAUAUGGGUGCCUUUAGUGUCCCUUUAAAGGUGGAAUUGACAAGGAACAAUUGCAAACAUAGCAGAAACGUACAGGAAAAAUAUCAGGAAAUCACACUAUACCUUGUACUUAAAAGAUAAUGACAUAAAAUGUUGAUCACAUGUGUAAUUUAAUUGUAGUGGAAAUAUGACUAAUAAUCAGUGCUAAAAUCCUAAAGCAGACAAAAGUGGCUCACAGCCAUUUUUGCAUUUUGCAAUUAGGGAGAUUUUUGUGUUUUCGGCAUAGGGUAGCAGCACCUCUUACAAUACACAGUAUAAUGAUUUAACAGGAGUACAGUGGAAUCUCUAUCCCCUCCAAAUAAGAAACUAGAAAACACAAUAAAAACAAAAAACCCCACACACACACUGUAAACAAGAGAACAGCAUCGGAAAAGUCCAUACAUUUAAAGUGUGUAUAAUAUAUCCUAUUUCCUCUUAUGAGCAUUUAUCAGUACUUCAGCAGUCGGACGUAGCAAAAUUCAAUGAGCAUAACGGACACCAUAACCAAAACAAUGCUGGUAGUUAUGGUGCUAAGAGGCUGCAGGUGGUAUCCUCUGCCUUUAAGUAAAACAGUUUUUAAAUAGUUUGAAGAAAACUAGGAGCUCUGAGGCAUCCAGGGACAUGCAGCCCUCGUUCACUGAAUUGCCUCCUCACCUCAUAACCAUAAUCUAGAAAUAUCCAUUUUGUCCACAACUGACAUAUUUGAAAGGGAUGGGUGUGGAACUAUUGCAUCAGCAAUCUGGCAAGCAAAAGGGGGCAGGCUGCGAAUGUCAAAUCACUCAAGAAUGAUUUGACCUGGGAUCUAGAUGAAGGAUAUAUACUCACUAGAAUGACAUGUAGCAGUUAUGGUGCUUAGACUGUCUCCGUAAGUCAUUACUACUAUGUCACGAUCUACUAGACAAGAUCAAUAUUUGUGGCAUUAACUAAACUAACAAGAAUACAAUAAGCAGGAAUAGCACUAAACAAAUACAAUAGUUAUUCAAUAAAGAGAGAAUUCCAAAUGAAUUUAGAAUUUAAUUUUUAAACUGAAAACAUUAUCUAAUUCAGUUCAGCUACUUUGUCCAAAAAUGUGUAAUUCAC